rnacentral:rRNA from 1 species
UACAGAGGGGGCGAGCGUUGUUCGGAAUUACUGGGCGUAAAGGGCGCGUAGGCGGCCAACUAAGUCAGACGUGAAAUCCCUCGGCUCAACCGGGGAACUGCGUCUGAUACUGGAUGGCUUGAAUUCGGGAGAGGGAUGCGGAAUUCCAGGUGUAGCGGUGAAAUGCGUAGAUAUCUGGAGGAACACCGGUGGCGAAGGCGGGUUGCUGGGCCGACACUGACGCUGAGGCGCGAAAGCCAGGGGAGCAAACGGG